rnacentral:rRNA from 1 species
CGGACGGGUGAGUAACACGUGGAUAACCUACCUAUAAGACUGGGAUAACUUCGGGAAACCGGAGCUAAUACCGGAUAAUAUAUUGAACCGCAUGGUUCAAUAGUGAAAGACGGUUUUGCUGUCACUUAUAGAUGGAUCCGCGCUGCAUUAGCUAGUUGGUAAGGUAACGGCUUACCAAGGCAACGAUGCGUAGCCGACCUGAGAGGGUGAUCGGCCACACUGGAACUGAGACACGGUCCAGACUCCUACGGGAGGCANCAGGC